rnacentral:rRNA from 1 species
CAGAGGAAGGAAGCGUUAAUCGGAAGUACUGGGCGGAAAGCGCGCGUAGGUGGUUCAGCAAGUUGGAUGUGAAAUCCGCGGGCUCAACAUGCGAACUGCAUCCAAAACUACUAGACUAGAGGACGGUAGAGGGAUAUGGAAUUCUCUGCGUAG